UAACGGGGCUAAAACUAGUCACCGAAGCUGCGGAUGUGCGCGAAGGCGCACGUGGUAGGGGAGCGUUCUGUAGGCUGAUGAAGGUGCAUUGAGAGGUGUGCUGGAGGUAUCAGAAGUGCGAAUGCUGACAUGAGUAACGAUAAUGUGGGUGAAAAGCCCACACGCCGGAAGUCCCAGGUUUCCUGCACGACGUUAAUCGGAGCAGGGUGAGUCGGCCCCUAAGGCGAGGCUGAAGAGCGUAGUCGAUGGGAACCAGGUUAAUAUUCCUGGACUUUUUAUAAGUGGUGAAGUGGGGACGAAGAAGGCUAGGUGAGCCAGGCGUUGGUUGUCCUGGUACUUGCAUGUAGGGGGGAAGACUUGGCAAAUCCGGUUUUCCGAUACUCUGAGGUGCGAAGUGGUUCUGACCUUUUGGUACAGAGAAGUCAUUGAUGCCCGGCUUCCAGGAAAAGCUGCUAGCCAUAACUUAUAGAGAACCGUACCGCAAACCGACACAGGUGGACAGGUAGAGAAUACUAAGGCGCUUGAGAGAACUCGGGUGAAGGAACUAGGCAAAAUGGUACCGUAACUUCGGGAGAAGGUACGCCCUUUCUGGUGAUGGGAUUUACUUUCAGAGCUGGAGAGGGCCGCAGAGACCAGGUGGCUGCGACUGUUUAUUAAAAACACAGCACUCUGCAAAUUCGUAAGAAGACGUAUAGGGUGUGACGCCUGCCCGGUGCCGGAAGGUUAAUUGAUGGGGUUAUCUUCGGAGAAGCUCUUGAUCGAAGCCCCGGUAAACGGCGGCCGUAACUAUAACGGUCCUAAGGUAGCGAAAUUCCUUGUCGGGUAAGUUCCGACCUGCACGAAUGGCGUAACGAUGGCCACACUGUCUCCACCCGAGACUCAGUGAAAUUGAAAUCGCUGUGAAGAUGCAGUGUACCCGCGGCUAGACGGAAAGACCCCGUGAACCUUUACUAUAGUUUUGCACUGGACUUUGAUGAUGACUGUGUAGGAUAGGUGGGAGGCUGUGAAGUGAGGACGCUAGUUCUCAUGGAGCCGCCCUUGAAAUACCACCCUGUUGUUAUUGAGGUUCUAACUUGGUCCAGUAAUCCUGGAUGAGGACAGUGUAUGAUGGGUAGUUUGACUGGGGCGGUCUCCUCCCAAAGAGUAACGGAGGAGCACAAAGGUACCCUCGGUACGGUCGGACAUCGUACCAAGAGUGUAAAGGCAAAAGGGUGCUUGACUGCGAGAGUGACGGCUCGAGCAGGAACGAAAGUUGGUCUUAGUGAUCCGGUGGUUCUGAAUGGAAGGGCCAUCGCUCAACGGAUAAAAGGUACUCCGGGGAUAACAGGCUGAUACCGCCCAAGAGUUCAUAUCGACGGCGGUGUUUGGCACCUCGAUGUCGGCUCAUCACAUCCUGGGGCUGAAGCAGGUCCCAAGGGUAUGGCUGUUCGCCAUUUAAAGUGGUACGCGAGCUGGGUUUAGAACGUCGUGAGACAGUUCGGUCCCUAUCUGCCGUGGGCGUAGGAAAAUUGAGAGGAGCUGCUCCUAGUACGAGAGGACCGGAGUGGACGAACCUCUGGUGCACCGGUUGUCACGCCAGUGGCAUGGCCGGGUAGCUAAGUUCGGACGGGAUAACCGCUGAAAGCAUCUAAGCGGGAAGCCUCCCUCAAGAUGAGUUUUCCCAUGAAGCCCGUUGAAGACUACGACGUUGAUAGGCAAGGUGUGGAAGCGCAGUAAUGUGUGAAGCUAACUUGUACUAAUUGGCUGAUUGUCUUGACCAUAUAAUCUGAG
rnacentral:rRNA from 1 species